rnacentral:lncRNA from 1 species
CAUAUAUCUCACCUUUUCCUUAAGCGUUAUCUAACACAUAAUAAAACAAGGCCAUCAUACGUAGCCCUACAAUCGCUACAGUCCAACAGCAGAGAGCCUACAUACAUAGCCCAUUCUUCGCUAUGGCUACUCUGCCACAAGGCCAUCAUACGUAGCCCUACAAUCGCUACAGCCCAACAGCAGAGAGCCUACAUACAUAGCCCAUUCUUCGC